rnacentral:rRNA from 1 species
CCUACGGGUGGCUGCAGUGGGGAAUAUUGGGCAAUGGGCGCAAGCCUGACCCAGCAACGCCGCGUGAAGGAAGAAGGCUUUCGGGUUGUAAACUUCUUUUCUCAGGGACGAAGCAAGUGACGGUACCUGAGGAAUAAGCCACGGCUAACUACGUGCCAGCAGCCGCGGUAAUACGUAGGUGGCAAGCGUUAUCCGGAUUUACUGGGUGUAAAGGGCGUGUAGGCGGGGACGCAAGUCAGAUGUGAAAACCACGGGCUCAACCUGUGGCCUGCAUUUGAAACUGUGUUUCUUGAGUACUGGAGGGGCAGACGGAAUUCCUAGGGUAGCGGGGAAAUGCGUAGAUAUUAAGAGGGACACCAGUGGCGGAGGCGGUCUGCUGGACAGCAACUGACGCUGGGGCGCGAAAGCGUGGGGAGCAAACAGGAUUAGAAACCCCGGUAGUC